UACAGAGGUCUCAAGCGUUGUUCGGAUUCAUUGGGCGUAAAGGGUGCGUAGGCGGCGCGGUAAGUCGGGUGUGAAAUCUCGGAGCUUAACUCCGAAACUGCAUUCGAUACUGCCGUGCUUGAGGACUGGAGAGGAGACUGGAAUUUACGGUGUAGCGGUGAAAUGCGUAGAUAUCAGGAGGAACAUCGGUGGUGUAGACGGCUUUCUGGACCGUAACUGACGCUGAGACACGAAAGCGUGGGUAGCAAACAGG
rnacentral:rRNA from 1 species